GGAUCAUUACACAAUAAAAUACGAAGGCCGUUCGCGGCUGGACUAUUUAUUACCCUUGUCUUUUGCGCACUUGUUGUUUCCUGGGCGGGUUCGCUCGCCACCAGGACCACAAUAUAAACCUUUUUUAUGCAGUUGCAAUCAGCGUCAGUAUAACAAAUGUAAAUCAUUUACAACUUUCAACAACGGAUCUCUUGGUUCUGGCAUCGAUGAAGAACGCAGCGAAAUGCGAUACGUAGUGUGAAUUGCAGAAUUCAGUGAAUCAUCGAAUCUUUGAACGCACAUUGCGCCCUUUGGUAUUCCAAAGGGCAUGCCUGUUCGAGCGUCAUUUGUACCCUCAAGCUUUGCUUGGUGUUGGGCGUUUUUGUCUUUGGCCCGCCAAAGACUCGCCUUAAAAUGAUUGGCAGCCGGCCUACUGGUUUCGCAGCGCAGCACAUUUUUGCGCUUGCAAUCAGCAAAAGAGGACGGCAAUCCAUCAAGACUCCUUCUCACGUUUGACCUCGGAUCAGGUAGGGAUACCCGCUGAACUUAAGCAUAUCAAUAA
rnacentral:sRNA from 1 species